rnacentral:rRNA from 1 species
AGAAUCAUUCACAAUGGGCGAAAGCCUGAUGGUGUGACGCCGCGUGGAGGAUGAAGGUCUUCGGAUUGUAAACUCCUGUCAUGUGAGAGUAAAGCCGGGCGUUAACUGCGUGCCGGUUUGUGCGUACCACAAGAGGAAGAGACGGCUAACCCUGUGCCAGCAGCCGCGGUAAUACAGAGGUCUCAAGCGUUGUUCGGAAUCACUGGGCGUAAAGGGUGCGUAGGCUGCACGGUAAGUCAGAGGUGAAAUCCCGGAGCUCAACUUCGGAAUUGCCUCCGAUACUGCCGUGCUUGAGGACUGGAGAGGAGAUUGGAAUUCACAGUGGAGCAGUGAAAUGCGUAGAUAUUGUGAGGAACACUAGUGGCGAAGGCGAAUCUCUGGACGGUUCCUGACGCUGAGGCACGAAGGCCAGGGGAGCAAA